UUCUUUCCCGGGGUUUUGUUUUGGUUUUAAACAGGCAUGUGGCGGAGGACCCAGCCGUUUGGUGUCUGCUGAGACCCAGGAACUCAUCCGCGUGACCCCUGGCUGACCGCAGCUCGCUCUGUCGGGACGGACGGACCGCCUGGCUUCAGGGCUGCCCGGAGGCAGGGCUCCCGGCCGGCCAAGCAGGGCUGCCACCCUAGACCUCUGAGACGAGCGCCGGGCGGGGCUGCACGCUGAGGCUUGGGGUCACCACAGAGUGGAGACCGGGGGCUCAGGAGGUUUGUCCUCCCAGUCUUGGAAGAGCUCCCCAUUUCUUCGCAAGCUCCAGAACCGUGGCCGGCUGCCGCCUGCUUCUCCGCUAAGCCCCAGGGGUCCUGGCUGCAGAGGGGUCUUCGUUGCGGGGGUCCCGUGAGUCGGAAGGUGGGCGCCCGUCAAAGGCAGGACGUGGGAUGGGUUGGCUCUGCUCAGUGAGCAAAGGAGACGUCUAUGGGGGUAAAAGGGCAUGGAGCCCGGCGACCAAGCGGGGAGAGGGGCACUUCCGUUGCUCCCAGUCAGUGAAGUCAGUGGCUCAGCAUCAGACUGGCUGAUUCUCCAAAAAAGGGAUUCAGAAUGUGUCCUUUUUCAUCCAGUUAGGGAAAAUGGAGAGGAAAAACAAACUGCUUCAUGUUCAUAAAGCAAGGCCCAACGGACCUACACUGCCUGCCCACCUCCUGUGCCACCAGGUGGAGAAGGUAGAUGUUCUUACGGGAUGGCUGCCUUGUCUGCGAUGAGGUUCAGAAGUGCCUUCGUAUCUACAGCUGCCCUCCGAUCAAAGCUAGGCCAACCCUAUAAUACCUGGGGACACCAGGCAGUCCUAGAGAAGGGCUUGCAAGCGACUCA